rnacentral:rRNA from 2 species
GACGAACGCUGGCGGCGUGCCUAAUACAUGCAAGUCGAACGAACUCUGGUAUUGAUUGGUGCUUGCAUCAUGAUUUACAUUUGAGUGAGUGGCGAACUGGUGAGUAACACGUGGGAAACCUGCCCAGAAGCGGGGGAUAACACCUGGAAACAGAUGCUAAUACCGCAUAACAACUUGGACCGCAUGGUCCGAGUUUGAAAGAUGGCUUCGGCUAUCACUUUUGGAUGGUCCCGCGGCGUAUUAGCUAGAUGGUGGGGUAACGGCUCACCAUGGCAAUGAUACGUAGCCGACCUGAGAGGGUAAUCGGCCACAUUGGGACUGAGACACGGCCCAAACUCCUACGGGAGGCAGCAGUAGGGAAUCUUCCACAAUGGACGAAAGUCUGAUGGAGCAACGCCGCGUGAGUGAAGAAGGGUUUCGGCUCGUAAAACUCUGUUGUUAAAGAAGAACAUAUCUGAGAGUAACUGUUCAGGUAUUGACGGUAUUUAACCAGAAAGCCACGGCUAACUACGUGCCAGCAGCCGCGGUAAUACGUAGGUGGCAAGCGUUGUCCGGAUUUAUUGGGCGUAAAGCGAGCGCAGGCGGUUUUUUAAGUCUGAUGUGAAAGCCUUCGGCUCAACCGAAGAAGUGCAUCGGAAACUGGGAAACUUGAGUGCAGAAGAGGACAGUGGAACUCCAUGUGUAGCGGUGAAAUGCGUAGAUAUAUGGAAGAACACCAGUGGCGAAGGCGGCUGUCUGGUCUGUAACUGACGCUGAGGCUCGAAAGUAUGGGUAGCAAACAGGAUUAGAUACCCUGGUAGUCCAUACCGUAAACGAUGAAUGCUAAGUGUUGGAGGGUUUCCGCCCUUCAGUGCUGCAGCUAACGCAUUAAGCAUUCCGCCUGGGGAGUACGGCCGCAAGGCUGAAACUCAAAGGAAUUGACGGGGGCCCGCACAAGCGGUGGAGCACGUGGUUUAAUUCGAAGCUACGCGAAGAACCUUACCAGGUCUUGACAUACUAUGCAAAUCUAAGAGAUUAGACGUUCCCUUCGGGGACAUGGAUACAGGUGGUGCAUGGUUGUCGUCAGCUCGUGUCGUGAGAUGUUGGGUUAAGUCCCGCAACGAGCGCAACCCUUAUUAUCAGUUGCCAGCAUUAAGUUGGGCACUCUGGUGAGACUGCCGGUGACAAACCGGAGGAAGGUGGGGAUGACGUCAAAUCAUCAUGCCCCUUAUGACCUGGGCUACACACGUGCUACAAUGGAUGGUACAACGAGUUGCGAACUCGCGAGAGUAAGCUAAUCUCUUAAAGCCAUUCUCAGUUCGGAUUGUAGGCUGCAACUCGCCUACAUGAAGUCGGAAUCGCUAGUAAUCGCGGAUCAGCAUGCCGCGGUGAAUACGUUCCCGGGCCUUGUACACACCGCCCGUCACACCAUGAGAGUUUGUAACACCCAAAGUCGGUGGGGUAACCUUUUAGGAACCAGCCGCCUAAGGUGGGACAGAUGAUUAGGGUG